rnacentral:rRNA from 1 species
GUGCCAGCAGCCGCGGUAAGACGGAGGAUGCAAGUGUUAUCCGGAAUCACUGGGCGUAAAGCGUCUGUAGGUUGUUCAAUAAGUCAACUGUUAAAUCUUGAGGCUCAACUUCAAAAUCGCAGUCGAAACUAUUAAACUAGAGUAUAGUAGGGGUAAAGGGAAUUUCCAGUGGAGCGGUGAAAUGCGUAGAGAUUGGAAAGAACACCAAUGGCGAAAGCACUUUACUGGGCUAUUACUGACACUGAGAGACGAAAGCUAGGGUAGCAAAUGGGAUUAGAUACCCCAGUAGUCCUAGCCGUAAACGAUGGAUACUAGAUGUUGAACAGAUCGACCUGUGCAGUAUCAAAGCUAACGCGUUAAGUAUCCCGCCCGGGAAGUACGCUCGCAAGAGUGAAACUCAAAGGAAUUGGCGGGGGCCCGCACAAGCGGUGGGGCAUGUGGUUUAAUUCGAUGCAACGCGAAGAACCUUACCAGGGUUUGACAUGAUACGAAUUUCUUUGAAAGAAGAAAGUGCCGUUUGGAACGUAUACACAGGUGGUGCAUGGCUGUCGUCAGCUCGUGUCGUGAGAUGUUGGGUUAAGUCCCGCAACGAGCGCAACCCUUAUUUUUAGUUGCCUUAUGGAACUCUAAAAAGACUGCUGGUUAUAAACCGGAGGAAGGCGGGGAUGACGUCAAGUCAGCAUGCCCCUUGCACCCUGGGCUACACACGUGCUACAAUGGGCAAGACAAUGAGAUGCAAGCCUGCGAAGGUUAGCUAAUCUAUAAACUUGUUCUAAGUUCGGAUUGUAGGCUGCAACUCGCCUACAUGAAGUUGGAAUCGCUAGUAAUCGCUGGUCAUCUACACAGCGGUGAAUCCGUUCCCGGGCCUUGUACACACCGCCCGUCACACCAUGGAAGCUGAUUAUGCCCGAAGUCGUUACUCUAACCGUUUGGAGGAGAACGCCUAAGGUAGAAUUAGUGACUGGGGUGAAGUCGUAACAAGGUAACC